rnacentral:lncRNA from 1 species
UCAUGUUUCACUUUUCGGAAACUCAAAUUCUUCUUCUCUGACUAGUCGUCCACCACCCACCAUUCUCCGUUUUCCGUCCCCUCUCCUCAGUUCUCAUGCACUGUCCGUCGUUCUCCUCUUUAUCACGACUAUAGUUAGCUUAUUCCUCUCUAUCUCUUCUCUCAGAAAUUUAUGAUUUCUCUCAAUAUUUCAACCUUUUCUUGCAAAACCCUAAAACUCACUCAAAU